AGAAUAAGCUACGAGGCAGAAAGCAAAAUAAAUAAAAUGUAACAUAAGAUGCAGUUAUUAAAAUCACCACAAGAUGGCGAUAUCCCUUACUGCGUGUGGAACGCUCAGACAGGAAGUGAUGUAAAAGUGGAAUAGGAAGUGAUAUAAAGGAGGAACAGGAAAUGAUGUAAGGUGAAAACAAGACGCGCUAUAAAGGAAAGACAGGAAUUUCUGGGAGAGAAGAACGAGGUGGAGAGGAGACGUCACUGGAUUAUACAGAGGAGGAUAAAGGAAGUAUUGAAGAGGAAAUCUGGGCAGCUG